GCAGUGCGCGAGAAGUGUCAGCCGGAUGAGACGUGCAUUAAACAGCUACAAUUUCGGGAAGGAACUGAAACCUGUCUAACGCGCGCGCUGUUCCACACACAGCAUGGAGAUCUGAUCCGGUUCUCACUUCCGGUCCAGUGCAGAAGUUAUUAAACUUGUGGGAUAUCAUGUGAGAGUUAAGAGUUUAUUCAGGGUUUUUUUUUUUAAAUAAAUGAUUGAAAAUGAUCUUUGAGGAACUGAAGUGAGCAGACAGAAAUAAUAAACGCGGCGAACCCGAGUGAACAUGAGUGCUGAAAAGAUCAGAAAAGAUCAGAACGGGUGAAAGGAGAACUUUACACACCCUACACGUUGGCAAAAAGAGAGCAGCGAGUGGUCCCCGCUGUUGCCAUGACAACACACGCAAACCGGUUGCGAUGGAGAGCCGAGGUUGAGCGCAGGAACAACAUCCGCCCGCGACUUUAAAUAAAUCACAAAACAUAAAAAAGCAAAAGACAAACAAUCAGACUGGAGCUUCACCUCACAGUAAAAAGGCCUUUACAGUUUUUGUUCCAAAUCCUGAGAAAAGGAAAGAAAUUCUGAAAAUAGGGAGUCGACAUGAACAGACUACAGGACGACUAAAACCGGUGGAACCAGAUGGACUCUAUUAUUAUUACUCCUACUUCAGCUACUCGGAGCUCAGCCACAUGUUUCCUGAUUUAUUUCCUCAUCUGGAAAAAAAUGCAAAUCUCCUCCUGAAUGUUAGAAUAAACACAAGUAAAGAAUUCAGUUCAUUACAUUUGCAUUCAGCUUCUUCAUGUCUUUUGUGUGUUUCUUUAUGUUCACAGCCAGAACAGCAGCUCUGACAGCCAUGUAGAAUCCUGCAUUCUGAUUGGUCAGGGGGUGUUGAUUAGUUUUCUAUAACAGCAGCUCUGACAGUAGCACAGCUGUACAUCACAGCUUUAUUUAUAAUUAAUGCGCUCGUUCUAAUACGUUAUCGUUCCGUAAUGGCUCAUUCUCAUGGAUGUGUAGUUGAACACGUACUUGAAAUAAAGUGAUGUUUAAUUAACGUGUAUGGAAGGAGUCUCCAGUGUCAGUGCUGUGUAACAGUCAGAGGCAAAGCUGUAACUUGAAGUUUUCCCACAUCUUCAGGACAGAGGAGUUUACACUUCUUUAACAAGCUGCAAUUUUAUUUUUUUUUGUCUUAUUAACUUUAAAAGACAGAGAAUAAAGAGAAAGAAUAAAGAGAGAGAAUAAAGAGGGAAUAAAGAGAGAGAAUAAAGAGAGGGAUGGGGAAGGAACGAGUGUUUAUAGCUGCUGUAACGUAAAUGAGAACUGGAACUGACUCAUUUCACGGACAUUCCACAACAAUAACUUUAACUAUAAACUGAUAAAAAAAUACAAUGUGUCAUUGAAAAUGUUAUUGUUGUCAAAUUGUCAAACUUUACUUUGUUUUGGUUUAUUCUUUAUGUAACUUAUGAGACAUUAUAAAGCAAAGUAAUAAUGGAGUUAUAACUAGAUGAGAGUGAACAAUUUUAAGACAUUGGACUUCUGAUCAGAAGUUUAUGAGUUCAAAUCCCAGUCGCUGGACCCUUAAUCCUCAUCUUCUCAGUUGUAUAAAUAAGAUAAAUGGAUAAGGCUAUAAAUGUAAAUGUAAAUACUAACACAAACACAUUCCACAGACUUACAUUUGUUUUAUAUUGUUGUACAUACUGUAGAACCUCUAAUGGUUCCUCUCUAGGGACAAACUGAACAACUGAAGAGUGAAUAAACAUGGCAUUACUGUUGUGUUUA